AGCGUGACAUUCCUCUGGAUCUGCAGCAGGUUGAGCACCAGGGCCAGGACGACCCCGACCGAGAAGAGCACAAGGCUCCUCUGCACCAGGCGGCAUCAGUGCAGUCCCGCCCAGCCCCUCUGGCUCUGCUGUUCUCCUCUUCUCGUCCGGACGGAGACCACAGCAGCCCUGGAACCUUUCCGGAGGCGCAGAGACACCGCUGUUCCAGGGCACAGACCAGCGUGUGCAGCAGGAAUGUGGAGGGUCCCUUGGAGGACUGUCCUGGGCUCCUACUGUUAGGUCAGACCCUCGAGGUGUGCUGCUGACCUGGAAGUGUUUACUUUGUGACGCCCGAAGAACUUGGCUGUGCCUUCUCCUGGGUCACUAGAAAGCAGGCUGGUGGGAUAGCACCCCGACCUCCAUGGCCCCCCUGGGUGUGGAGUGGUCAAGGGGCCCAAGGGUACUGAGCUGUCCUGCAGUGAACAAGCCACUUGCCUCCCACCCUUAUUCCUGCCAUUAUUUCUACUAUCACUUUAAUAAUCCUUUGUAAUAACUGUCCUCAAAAUAGGCCUGAGAACAAUAUACAGAGUCUGCCAAAAAUGUAUGCACACUUCGGAAAAGACAUACUUGUAUAAAUACUUUAAUACUAAAUUUA